CUCAGGUGAUCUGCCCGUCUCAGCCUCCCAAAGUGCUGGGAUUACAGACGUGAGCCACCACGCCCAGCCACAUUUGAAAAUUAACUAAAAUGUGGCAAUAUUUGCACAGUACCUAGCAUAUUUUCUAGAAAACAUCUGGUGACCCUCUAUACUUGUUAGUCUUUUCUUUUUUCCCUUUCUACAGCCCUUUUUGUUUCUAUAAGGAAAUAAGGUCAAAUGUUAGCAAAGCAUUGUACGAUUUUGAUUCACAGCUUUGUUUCUUAAUGGAACUCUUGGGUGAUUUGGGUAAUUUUCCUUGUCAAAAAAGCCAAUACUCACUGACUACCUCAUGAUGCUCAUUAAAAUAAAAUAAAAAUCCAAUUCCGUUCAAUUCCACAUACUUCAUCUGUUCUAAACAUUGAAAUAAAUAGAACAAAGGGGUCAGGCAGGUGGCUCACGCCUGUAAUCCCAGCACUUUG
rnacentral:lncRNA from 10 species